ACUAUAUUUCAUAACUUCACUACUUCAUAACUUUUAUAUUCUUCAGUUGAGUACGGUUCCAUUUCUGUCCGGUUCAUUCUUCAUCUAUGGUUUCUUUGGGAUCAAGCAUCAAGGUUUCUGUUUUCUGAAGCAUCAAGAUGGACAAUGGAUUUGAGGAUGGACAAGCAGCUUCUGAUAUGAUGGCAAGCAGUCAACAGAGGAAAAAAAGGGUUAGUUUCUACUUUUUCAUGUGUUGUUUUAGUUUUUCUUCAUUAUAGUUUUUCUACAUAUAAUUCACUGAGACCUCCAUCACCACUCUCACUUUCACAGUGAUUUAGUUAGGAACUGAAAACUAAAUUUGGCAUCAUACAUCAAUGUUGAUUUGUUUCAGAAUUGCUAGAUGCUUCUGAUACUUUGAUUUGGGAGUCCUUGAUGAGCCCUCUUUUAUUUAGGGUUUUAUGGAAUUGAGUAAUAAGAAUAGUGCAAGAUAAAGAUGGUAUACUGUGCUGGCAUUUGAUACCCGUUUGGCUUUUCUAAGUUCUCAAUUAUGUGCUCUUUAUAUCACAAUAUUGUUUUUACCGAUACUUGCUUCACUGGUAUG